rnacentral:lncRNA from 1 species
GGCAAUCCAAAUAGAAUUAACAAUAGACAGAACCUCUAGGUGUAGUUCCUGUGUGAUAAAAUCCUUCUAUCACUAGUCCCGAUUGAGCCGAGGUUAUGGAUUACUCGUCAAACCCCAUUACUCAAUCAUAUGUCUCAUCUGAUUAACAAUUAAUAUGGAAACUCUUUUCCAUAAAAUCAUACUGCCUUGGCCAAGGACUUUUAUAUCUUGUAAAACAGAUAGUAUAGGACAAUUACCUCUCUACCGAGGGUGAUAGAUUCCAUCUUGACACACACCUACCUCCAUGUAUGACCCACUGCAGCCAACAUGUGUUGACUUAACCCAUGAUUAGGGUAUAAGUAUUUACACAGUCAAACUACAAUAACCCACACGCAAGAUAACCGUGGUGCCUCAGGUCAAAGGAUCACUCACACUACUACAGUAUGGAACAAUUCACUGACGAGUGAGUAGACAUCCAUGUGAUUGUUUAUAGUUGGUCACGCUCAGUGAAAUUGUUCUCCAACAUUCACCUGUAUGCUUACUCUAGUGUCACCACACUAAUGACUUGAGACUCGUCAUCCCAUAAAGGAAGUACAGCAUACACUUAUCUAUCCGGAUUUACCACCGCC